CGGAACGACUCUCGACAACGGAUAUCUAGGCUCUCGCAUCGAUGAAGAACGUAGCGAAAUGCGAUACUUGGUGUGAAUUGCAGAAUCCCGCGAAUCAUCGAGUUUUUGAACGCAAGUUGCGCCCGAAGCCAUUCGGCCGAGGGCACGUCUGCC
rnacentral:rRNA from 1 species